CGGGGAAAUAGUAGAUUUAAUUUAAUAUUUUCUGGUUUCUUUUUAAAAUGUUGCUGUGUUAUGGCUAGUUUAUACCGUAUCUGGCUUCAUACGAAAAAAAAUAAAAAGUAAAAAUUUGAUGGUUCAAUGGUUGAAAAUCCCCCAAAAUGGCCUCGAUUACAAACGAGCAAUUAAUUUUAAUUAUAUAUUUUGAACGAAAUUAGCUAUACGCUAUAACAAUUGCCAAUCCUAUAAGCUAAUGACACGUACGCAACACGUACCUAUUGUUAGUAUAGGUAAUAGUGCUGUUUCGAGUGAAAUUUGGAGAAAACACGCACAAGUGAGUUUUCAAAGACGAUCAAAUGUGCAAUUUGAAGUCUUUGAAGAACUCAUGAGUGUAUUUUUUCCAAAUUGCAACGAGAAACUACACUAUACUAUAAGUUACUAUCGCAAGGUAAAGUGCUGCCUUAGGGCAGGUUACCGCUGAGUAGCCUGAGUUACUUUUGUUGAGAAGACUCAACCACUGAAAUGUAUAUAGCCUACAUGGAAACAUUGUUAAUAAUAUACAUGAAAGUUUACACGCACGUUUCGAUACAACCUGUGCAUUCACCUACGCCAUAUAUUGUUUCCAAUGCGUGUUAGCAAACCUUCUCAGUAUAUGUGUUCCUUGUAACUAAAUUGUUACAUUCACGUACUAAAUUGUUGUAUUCGAUUAAAAGUGUGCAAAAAGUCGUAAAAAAAGUGAACAUUUGUAUAGCUACUAUCUGGCGGCGGAUUUUUCCUGAUUGGCUAAAUUGAGUAACUUUUCAUCUAUAUUAUUAAACCAUUAACAUAACUACAUGCAGGUGAGCGUUAGGUAACUUUGGUACCUAUCGCUGGUUUAUUAAGUUUUAAUAUUAUUUUAUUUUAUUUUAGGCAAGCCUAUACCUUUAAGUUUUCAUGAAUUUUCACGGCUUCAAUUUCUUCUUCUUCGCCCUGGUUUUCGCUUAUGGCAUGCAGAGUCGGGAAGAAAACAAAUUGCAAAAUGACAUGGUGUUUAUUUAAAAUUAUUCUGGAUAAAAGCAGUUCUCACUUCAAUGUAUUAUCUAUUGAACAGGCCAAUGAGUCUUAAUAAAUUUCAUCAAGCCAUUUGUUGAGCUAUCGUGCGUUGUGACAGUUUCAUUUCCUUCCAGCUCUGGCUGUAUCACCUUUGCCAGUUGUUUCCCCAGCUCGACACUACAA